rnacentral:rRNA from 1 species
GAUGAACGCUAGCGGCAGGCCUAACACAUGCAAGUCGAGGGGUAGAGUUCUUCGGGACUUGAGACCGGCGCACGGGUGCGUAACGCGUAUGCAAUCUACCUUAUACAGGGGAAUAGCCCAGAGAAAUUUGGAUUAAUGCCCCAUAGUGUUAUCGAAUCGCAUGGUUUGAUAACUAAAGUUCCAACGGUAUAAGAUGAGCAUGCGUCCAUUAGUUAGUUGGUAAGGUAACGGCUUACCAAGACAAUGAUGGGUAGGGGUCCUGAGAGGGAGAUCCCCCACACUGGUACUGAGACACGGACCAGACUCCUACGGGAGCAGCAGUGAGGAAUAUUGGUCAAUGGGGCGCAAGCCUGAACCAGCCAUGCCGCGUGCAGGAAGACGGUCCUAUGGAUUGUAAACUGCUUUUUAAUACAGGAAGAAACCCUCCCACGUGUGGGA